rnacentral:rRNA from 1 species
UACGUAGGGACCAAGCGUUGUUCGGAUUUACUGGGCGUAAAGGGCGCGUAGGCGGCGUGUUAAGUCAGCUGUGAAAGUCAAGGGCUCAACCCUUGGAUGCCGGUGGAUACUGCAGGGCUAGAGUCCGGAAGAGGCGACUGGAAUUCCUGGUGUAGCGGUGAAAUGCGCAGAUAUCAGGAGGAACACCGAUGGCGAAGGCAGGUCUCUGGGCCGAUACUGACGCUGAGGAGCGAAAGCGUGGGGAGCGAACAGG